rnacentral:rRNA from 1 species
UACGUAGGGGGCGAGCGUUGUCCGGAUUUACUGGGCGUAAAGCGCGUGUAGGCGGGAGAUUAAGUUGGGUGUGAAAGCCCGGGGCUCAACCCCGGGAUGCCGCCCAAGACUGGUCUCCUUGAGGACGGAAGAGGAGAAUGGAAUUCCUGGUGUAGCGGUGAAAUGCGCAGAUAUCGGGAGGAACACCAAUGGCGAAGGCAGCUCGCUGGGACGUGACUGACGCUGAGACGCGAAAGCGUGGGGAGCAAACAGG